CCUGAGUCCUGAUUAGUCUCUCCAAGCUUAGUCAGCUUCCAUUUUCUCUAGGAGUUACCUUCUGCUGUGUAUUCACAUACUCAGCGGUAACAACCAUACUUUGAAUUUUAUAAUAUUUGACAGUUCAGAUAUUUUCUGAUUAAUUAAUGUUACAGAACAUACGUGAAAGAAAUCCUGGCAUGUUUCCCUCAAGGAUGAAGAGUAGGAUUAUACCGUCCACAUACUUUGCUGCCAUUUUGAUUCAAAGAAGUGGAAGAGGAGAUCUGGAGAGUGGCUACAAGAUGCAACAAAAUGGAAAUGACCAUGGCUUCAGGAGACCAGUGAUCUAGCCCUAAAUUUUCCCCUACCUCCCAGAGGCAAGAGAGGUUUCUUCUCUUUGGGUCUCCCAGAAUCACAUGAAGGAAGAAUAGCUUAAUCUACAUUUAUAUCUAUUUAAAUUUCAGACAAAAUUUCUGGUAAAAUUAAAUCCGUAUUUGAAAAAGACUAAGCAUGGGGCGCCUGGGUGGCUCAGUUGGUUAAGUGCCUCCUUUAGCUCAGGUCAUGAUACUGGGGUCCUGAGAUGGAGCCGUGUGUGGGGCCGUGCUCCUUCUCCUCUGCCCCUCCCCUGCACAACGGCACUGCGCACGCGCUCGCUCUCUCUAGC
rnacentral:lncRNA from 1 species